AUGCGGCCCCCCACCCGCAGCGAGUUCGGCUUCUCCGUCGCCGGCAAGCGCAAGCGCUCGCCGGAGUUCCCCUGCGCGUCGCGCUUCCGGCAGCGGCGGCUCAUCUCCUUCCUCGGGCACCACAACUUCAACCGCACCGUGGAUGUGUUGGUGACCCAGACGGACGUGUUCCUGUGCCUGAAGCACAUGGCCGAGCUGGUGGACGCGGGCUCCUGGGACAAGGCCAUCGACUACCUCUCCCGCUUCCUGCCCUCCGACCGCCCGCUCGGCGUCCACGGCCGCGCCCUCUUCCACUACCUCCGCGUGCACAAGGCCAUCGACGACGUGCUCGCCGGAGCCCCGGAGGCCCGCUCCGUCACCACCGCCCUCGACCAGUGCAUCAUCCGCCACCCCACCAAGAGCCAAGCCCUCACCAGGCUCCGCGCCAUCUUCUCCUCCCUCCUCUGCUCCAAGAGAUACAGGGCUGUCCUGGACAUAGGGCGCGUGAGGCACGAGGCUAAACUGACUAUCGUCGACUUGGUUUGUAAGACUCCAGAGUUGAAAGACCAUAUGCGACCCGCCCGCGGCUCAAUGGAACCCCAGAACGUGCUUCCCAUUGGCUUCGGCUACGCUUGUUUCCGUCCGAGGCGCCACGUGAAGAAACGAGGCGGCCGGAUCCCGGCGUCUGUGCUUGGCAGGCUUUAUCUUGAGAAGAAGAAGAAGAUGCUGCCUUCUUUGACUUCAGACCAUCACGCCCAGGGGUUAACUCGUGAGAUAAGUUUGGAAACCGGCAAGAUGAGUGAAGCGGAACUGACUCAAUCUGCCUCUAACAAAGGUGGUCCGAUUACUCCAGUCUCACGGACUAAUCUUGCUACCUUCAAAGUGGUUACUAAUCGUACAUUAUUCCGCAAGGCAAAAGAAUGGAUGGUAUAUUUUACAGAGGAAUGUUUGAAAGCUUGGCCAGACGCGAGUCAAGAUGAUCUACCUCAACUUUUCUGCAAGGAUGGUGAUCCUGAUGGCACAGUCUCCCGUACAGUGCCUGGUAGCUUGACUAGUCUUGCUGAAAAUUCAGCGAUUGCAUCAGUCAAAAAGCCAGGUAACUUAGUUGCAUAUUCUGAAAUCUCCAUACCAGGCUAA
rnacentral:rRNA from 1 species